rnacentral:sRNA from 1 species
AUUUAGAUCUUAAAACCUUGUUAAAAUUAGAAAAAAAUGGUGGAUCCAGUGCUUUAGCACUGCCUCUAAGCCGAGCCUGCUUAUACAUAUAUGCAGAGAAUUUUGCACUAUUUGAAACGCACCGCAUUGUACAGUUCGGUCACCAUUAAAUUGUAAAUGAUAUAAAUUGUGAUAAUAAUACGGUUUAGAUGCUUAGAAACUCCACGUUAAGGGAAAAAUUGCUUACAGUGUCA